CUGGUAUCAGGAGCAGAGAUAGCUUGCGCCCACGUGUCCCCGAGCGUCCCGCCCACACCCCCACCUGCUGGGGGCGGAGGCACUGCCUUAUACCAGUCAGCGGCCUCUGGCGUCCAAGCUUCAUCUAGCUCCGGCCUCCGAUUGGCUGCUGAGUGAGCGUGGGGAGGUGGGGAAGCGUGCCUGCCCUUGGGCCCCCUACCCUAGUCCCAACCCAGUCCCAUAAAAGCACCGCCACUACCGCCUUCCUGCCGCCCUCCUGCACCAGGCGCCCCAGCCCUUGGCGUGACCCCGUGGUGUGCCUUUGCUCCAGCCCCUCUGCAGGUUGGGCCAUGGCCAGCAGCGUUGCCACCUGCUCCGGAUCUCACCAAGAGUGGAGCCGGCCACAGUGCUUAGCGCACAUUCUUCCUCAUUGUACACCUUUCUCACCUUGUCUCCCGGACUCCCAGGGCUCCUAUUCAUCCUUCAGAGCCCUGCCUGGCAUCUGCUGCCCAGAAGUGAGCCUUCACCACAUGAAGCUACUUUGGCUUUUUAAAAAAUUUUAUUUUUUAAAAAAGAUUUACUUAUAUUUUUGGC
ensembl:lncRNA